GCCCGACUGUGAGUUCCUGCUGGCCCUUUAUAACUUUGUGAGAGAACGGGGUCUCAUCGGCUCUGUACCUGAACUCAUGCAGCUCACAUACAAGAUGGCCAGCAGUGGUCUAGAGCUGAGUCUAGAUUGCCUGGACUGUGUAAAAAACGCCCCUGUGCUCCAGCAAUCACUUCAUCCAGACUCAACUAUUGCACUUUCUGGCAACCACAAGUUAACCAACAAUGUCACCGUUGUGGAGUCCCUGAAUUUAUCCCAUGCCAUUGUGGAAAUAGAAGUU